rnacentral:rRNA from 1 species
GGAAUUGCAUUCGAUACUGGGAAGCUAGAGUAUGGGAGAGGAUGGUAGAAUUCCAGGUGUAGCGGUGAAAUGCGUAGAGAUCUGGAGGAAUACCGAUGGCGAAGGCAGCCAUCUGGCCUAAUACUGACGCUGAGGUACGAAAGCAUGGGGAGCAAACAGGAUUAGAUACCCUGGUAGUCCAUGCCGUAAACGAUGUCUACUAGCCGUUGGGGCCUUUGAGGCUUUAGUGGCGCAGCUAACGCGAUAAGUAGACCGCCUGGGGAGUACGGUCGCAAGACUAAAACUCAAAUGAAUUGACGGGGGCCCGCACAAGCGGUGGAGCAUGUGGUUUAAUUCGAUGCAACGCGAAGAACCUUACCUGGUCUUGACAUAGUAAGAACUUUCCAGAGAUGGAUUGGUGCCUUCGGGAACUUACAUACAGGUGCUGCAUGGCUGUCGUCAGCUCGUGUCGUGAGAUGUUGGGUUAAGUCCCGCAACGAGCGCAACCCUUUUCCUUAUUUGCCAGCGGGUUAAGCCGGGAACUUUAAGGAUACUGCCAGUGACAAACUGGAGGAAGGCGGGGACGACGUCAAGUCAUCAUGGCCCUUACGACCAGGGCUACACACGUGCUACAAUGGUCGGUACAAAGGGUUGCUACCUAGCGAUAGGAUG